ACGGUUAUAAAUCAACAUAUUGAUUUAUAAGCAUGGAAAUCCCCUGAGAGAAACAACGAAUUGCUGUGUGUAGUCUUUGCCCAUCUCCCACGAUGGGCUUUUUUUUAA
rnacentral:other from 1 species